rnacentral:ncRNA from 1 species
AGGAGCCGUGUGCUGGGAAACUCGCAAGCACGGUUUGGAAUUGGAGUUGGGGAAGGCAACUUCCCUUUCGACCAUAAC